rnacentral:rRNA from 1 species
GAUGAACGCUGGCGGCGUGCCUAAUACAUGCAAGUCGAGCGAACAGACGAGGAGCUUGCUCCUCUGACGUUAGCGGCGGACGGGUGAGUAACACGUGGAUAACCUACCUUUAAGACUGGGAUAACUUCGGGAAACCGGAGCUAAUACCGGAUAAUAUAUUGAACCGCAUGGUUCAAUAGUGAAAGACGGUUUUGCUGUCACUUAUAGAUGGAUCCGCGCCGCAUUAGCUAGUUGGGAAGGUAACGGCUUACCAAGGCGACGAUGAGUAGCCGACCUGAGAGGUGGAUCGGCCACACUGGAACUGAGAAACGGUCCAGACUCCAACGGGAGGCAGCAGUAGGGAAUCUUCCGCAAUGGGCGAAAGCCUGACGGAGCAACGCCGCGUGAGGGAUGAAGGUCUUCGGAUCGUAAAACUCUGUUAUUAGGGAAGAACAAAGGUGUAAGUAACAAUGCACGUCUUGACGGUACCUAAUCAGAAAGCCACGGCUAACUACGUG